GACGAACGCUGGCGGCGUGCUUAACACAUGCAAGUCGAACGGAAAGGCCCUGCUUGCAGGGUCCUCGAGUGGCGAACGGGUGAGUAACACGUGGGUGAUCUGCCCUGUACUUCGGGAUAAGCCUGGGAAACUGGGUCUAAUACCGGAUAGGAGCCACUUUUAGCGUGUUGGUUGGAAAGUUUUUUCGGGGUAGGACGAGCUCGCGGCCUAUCGGCCUGUUGGUGGGGUAAUGGCCUACCAAGGCGCCGACGGGUAGCCGGCCUGUGAGGAUGGACGGCCACAUUGGGACUGAGAGGAGGCCGAGACGCCUAAGGGAGGCAGAAGUGGGGAAGACUGAACCAGGGGCGCCAGCCUGGUGAAGAGACGCCGCGUGGGGGAUGACGGUCUUCGGGUUAUAAAAUCCGUUCGGUAGGGACGAAGCUUUUUGUGACGGUACCUAGAUAAGAAGCACCGGCUAACUACGUG
rnacentral:rRNA from 1 species